UACGUAGGGUGCAAGCGUUUAAUCGGAAUUACUGGGCGUAAAGCGUGCGCAGGCGGUUGUGCAAGACCGAUGUGAAAUCCCCGGGCUUAACCUGGGAAUGGCAUUGGUGACUGUACGGCUAGAGUGUGUCAGAGGGGGGUAGAAUUCCACGUGGUAGCAGUGAAAUGCGUAGAGAUGAUGGAGGAAUACCGAUGGCGAAGGCAGCCCCCUGGGAUGACACUGACGCUCAUGCACGAAAGCGUGGGGAGCAAACAGG
rnacentral:rRNA from 1 species